rnacentral:rRNA from 1 species
GACGAACGCUGGCGGCGUGCUUAACACAUGCAAGUCGAACGGAAAGGCUCCAGCUUGCUGGAGUACUCGAGUGGCGAACGGGUGAGUAACACGUGGGUAAUCUGCCCUGCACUCUGGGAUAAGCCUGGGAAACUGGGUCUAAUACUGGAUAUGACCUUUCUCCUUAAGGGGUUUGGUGGAAAGUUUUUCGGUGUAGGAUGAGCCCGCGGCCUAUCAGCUUGUUGGUGGGGUGAUGGCCUACCAAGGCGACGACGGGUAGCCGGCCUGAGAGGGUGAUCGGCCACAUUGGGACUGAGAUACGGCCCAGACUCCUGCGGGAGGCAGCAGUGGGGAAUAUUGCACAAUGGGCGGAAGCCUGAUGCAGCGACGCCGCGUGAGGGAUGACGGCCUUCGGGUUGUAAACCUCUUUCAGCAGGGACGAAGCGUAAGUGACGGUACCUGCAGAAGAAGCACCGGCUAACUAUGUG